GGAUGCGAUCAUACCAGCAGUAUAGCACCAGAUCCCAUAAGAACUCCGAAGUUAAGCGUGCUUGGGCGAGAGUAGUACUAGGAUGGGUGACCUCCUGGAAUGUCCUCGUGUUGCAUUCC
rnacentral:rRNA from 2 species